rnacentral:rRNA from 1 species
UACGGAGGGUGCAAGCAUUAAUCGGAUUUAUUGGGCGUAAAGGGCGCGUAGGCGGCUUAGAAAGUCAUAUGUGAAAUUCCGUGACUCAAUUGCGGAGCUACAUGUGAAACUCCUAAGCUAGAGGAUAGGCGGAGAAAAUGGAAUUCCACGUGUAGCGGUGAAAUGCGUAGAUAUGUGGAGGAACACCAGAGGCGAAGGCGGUUUUCUAGCCUAAACCAGACGCUGAGGCGCGAAAGCAAGGGGAUCAAACAGG